rnacentral:lncRNA from 1 species
CAUCUGAAUUGGCUUGAAAGUAUAUAUCUUGGCGCAAAAGAAAUAGUAAAUAACAUUAACAACUUGCAACAACGUGAUCAACCAGUAGAAAUACUCCAGCUUUCCCUUGUUCAAAUUAUUAUCCGGCAGCCAAUUUGAUCCAUUAGGUCCUGCACUGAACUUGUGCACCAGUGUAACCAAAAGUGUGCUCACAUAAUUCCCAAUCGAAUUCGCAGUCCAAAAUAACGCAGUGGCUGUGCUUCUCAUGCUCUCCGGCGCCUGAUCAUAGAGAAACUCCAAGUGACCAACUGACAUGAAUGCUUCGGCUAUCCCGUGAAGACUGUACUGCGGCACUAGCCAAAGCACUGAGAUGGGGAUAAUUAUAUGAGGCUUGUCCACAAGACCAUGAGCCAGCGCUGCUUGUUUUCUCUUCAUUUCAACGAAGCCUGCUACUAGAGUGGCUAAUACUGAUAUCACAAAGCCUAUUCCCAUGCGGUGCAAGAAUGUGAUGCCGCGGUCGAGGCCCGUGAACUUUCGGGCCACGGGGAUUAUUAUGCGGUCGUAUAGAGCGAUUGUGGAGAGCAUGGAGACCAUAGUGAAGACCGACAUUGAGCCAGCUGGGAUUUGGAAGGAUUUAGUGAGAUGCCUGUCCAUUGAUUUGGCUUGUUGCAAGGAGAAAGUGCCUUGUUGUGCAUAGGCUGUGAUUAGAAGGAUUCCGGAUGCCCAAAUUGGUCCCAUUCUGAUCACAGAUUUCAAUUCCUCCACGCGGUGCACUGUGUUUAGUCUCCAUAGAUUUGGUGACUUGAUGUCGUCCUCUUCAGUCACAAUAGCAGCCUUGUCCAGGAAUCUGAAAAUUUACAAGUAGUCACAUUUAAAGAUAGAAGAAACCUUUUUUAUUAGUUACCACGCACCACAAUACCACCACAAAUUAACCAUAUUUUCUUGGAAUUGAAUUUUUGAUCUCGUUCUUCUGCUAUAAGAAGUCAAAUCAACUGGACUAUCAUUUAAGAUUAAAUCAAAGAAACUCGAUAAUAUUAACAAGCAAUUUAUUUUAUCAUAUAUAUGUUCUUCAUUAGUCUUCCACAUGAAAAAUAAAAGCUUCAUUUUCUAUUAUUUACAUUUAUAUUGAUAACAAUCUGUUCAUUUUAUACAAGUGAUAUGUUGUAUUUUUAAUAGGAUACAAUAUCAACAUUUAACUGAUAAUAAAUGUGAAAUGAUAAGAUAUCAUAUGGGCCAUGGUGAUGGUCGUUGUGGAGCAAAUUUGAGUGAAUAACACUUGACCGGAAGCAGCAAGAAAAUGAAUGAGAAUUAAGAAUUAAAACGUGUUCCACUGAAGGGUCAUGGGUAGUGAAAAGAAGAUGUAUUGCAUGUGAUAAAAGACAAAAGGGGGCGCACAAGCUUUUUGUUGUUUAGUAAUAACGAAAGAAGAAACUAUAGUGAUAUCAGUCUAUUGGUGCAUGGAUCGUUGGUUGUCCAUUCACUUUACUAGGACUAGAAGUGCUAAUUGAACAAGUCAUUUGUUUGCUUCCAACUAAUUAUACCCACUAUAAAACAGAUGAUGAUAAUGUGGUGACAGUUUAAAUCUGUGCUCUCUAUGUGUUCUAUCCUAUAUCAUAAACUUCAUGCACAAAAAGGGAAAAAAAAAAGGACAGAGUUCUAUGGCACCACAUUUCUUACACAAAUUAUUUAAUCAAGGACAGUAAAAUUUAAUCUCAACCAAUUGAAAGUGUUGGCCAAAAAAUUGUAUAGAAAAUUCGAUACCUUAGAAAGUUAACCCAAAAUAAAAACAAAAUCAUCUGCUAAAUAGAAACUAACAUAUAUUUAUGCUUAUUCUAUAGUUAUGUACUAUAGCUGUUUAUAUAGAGUAUACAAUUAGUGAGGUCAAUCAUAAAAUGUGUAUUAUUAUUUUUUUUUUCAUAUGAAUGAGUUUUAUUAUCAAUAUUCAUAUGUACUGAAUGAUUCAUCUCUCAGUUGAUGUAAUAAGUGAUUAAAAAAUGGUUUUUUAAAAUAAUUUAUCGUAUUUUUCUAGAAUUUCAUUAAUGAUGCAUCUCAUUCAUCAUUAAUCACUAACAGUGCGGUCUGACUCAAGUGCAAGUCCAUUGCCCAAUGACUCGCCACUUAUUUUUUUCUGAAAAAUAUUGUACUGUUGCAACUUGCAACUUGCAACUUGUGUCUGUGUGUGUUUUUAGAAAAUAGAGAGAGACCGAAACUUACUUCAUAUGCUUAGUAUGAAGAAGCUUUCCGUCCAAACAAAUGGACGCAUCAAGCUCUUCAUUCUGGUACAACACAUUUGGAUCCGAGACCAUAUCCAGAUUUCUCUUCCUGAAGGCAGCCACACACACUUGCAUCAAUCGGACAAACGGACUCCCAGCCGGAUCCAAGUUCCGGUAAAGCGGGUACCCGAAUACGAAUGCAAUGAUUGAUAGAAACAUUGCAACUGUUGGGAUACCGAGACCCCAGUUCCAUCCAACAUUAUCUUGAAUAUAAACAAGAACCGUCACGGCCACUAGUACUGCUGCUCCCAUAACAAAAUAAUACCAGUUAAAAUACUUCCACGUCUUUGUUGCUUGUUUGGGGUCUGUUUCAUCAAACUGGUCAGCCCCGAAUGCCACCACGCAGGGUCGGAUUCCACCCGACCCAAGGGCCGCCAGCAGAAGAGAUGCAUAUAAGAUUGCCAACUGUCCUGUAUCAGCUUCUUUGCAAACUUGGUCACCUUGGCAUGGUGGUGGCCUUAGUUGUGGCAGAAUUGCUGACAACGUUAAGGAGAACAUUCCCUGAUUACAAUAAAAAGAAGAAUUUCUUAGACAAAUUAUUAUUAUUAUUUUUAAUCUUUUUAAUCAGAGUGAGUGAGAGCUUGUUAAUAUUACGUACUAUUUGAUAAAUGAUGGAAGCAACUGUUAUAGUCCAAAAGCGUCCGGCGUAAGUAUCGGCGACGAAAGCUCCGAUCAACGGAGUCAAGCUGCCGGUUCCUCCGAAGUUGGUGAGAGUGUUGGCAGCUUUGGUUAAUGGCAUAUGCAACUGUGUUGUUAAGUAGCUGAUCAUGUUAGCAUGAAACCCCACCACGGCCAACUUCUCACACACCUCAUUUGCUACACCAAAAUCAUAAAACCAUCAUAAUUAAUCAACAAAAUAAUAAUAUAUAAAAAUGACGCUGAAGAAGAAGAACAAGUUAGUAAUUAAAUCUAUAGAUCACAGAGCAUUUUGAAGUUAAUCAAUUACCAAAUAUGAAGGGCAUGGUGAUGAUGCCACCCUUUUUCCUAUUGACAUGGCUGCCGCCUUUCUCCUCCAUCUUCUGUACCAUUGUCUUUCUAUGUGGUUAGCUAGCGAUGGUGUGGCCAAGAGCCUAUUUAUAGGCAGAUGCGAAUGUUUUUAACACGGUAAAUUAAUAAUGCCUCUGAGUGAUUUUUCUAAUUUUCACCGCAGCAAAAUACAUGGCCAGUAUGAGAAUUGCAUGUGAGAUUGUAAAUAUACGUGUAUGGUAGGUUUCGCAUGUAAGUUUUGAUGAGUCAGGCCCACGUGCGGACAUUUAUAUUUUAAAACCAUCUUAAAAGAGCUAAAGAAUAAACAACACGUAAUCCAAUAUACUAAAAGAUAAAAUAAAUAUAUUAAAAAUAAUUUUUUGAUCUUUUAUUUCUGUCAUAUUUUAAAAUCACCCAGACGUCCGCACUCAAGCACCACUCAAGUUUUGAUAUUUUCUGUUUUUCCCAGUCUGCUUUAUUUAUAAACAUUGCAUUUUGGUUGUUUUGAAAUUUUGCCAGUCCGGGUAGAAUUCGGGCAAUCUUGCCUAGACAAGUUUCUGCCUAUGUAUAAACCUUAAAAGUAAUAUGAAUUAAUUAUAACAAAAAAUGUAUGAGUUUUUGAUGUGGAGAAUGGGAUUGAUAGGAGAUAUAGUGGGAGACACUCGUAUUAAUGUUAAUUAAAAUUAAAUCCCUUCUCUUACUUUAAAUACGAAACUAAUUGGACUGUAUUUAUGCUCUUAAUUAAGAUUAAGCUAUGAAGAAUAUGAAGAUACAGACUGGAGCAUUAUUAGGUUUAUGAUAACAGACGAGAACUGCCAUCUUUACAUUAUAAAUUUGGGAGUUGCAAAUGCCCACCAUUCUUUUUCCCUUUAUUUUAUCAUUGUUGAUUUCACUAUAGUUAUUCGAUAUCUUUUGCUACACAUCAAUACUUCAUCCAUUUCCAGAGCGGAACAACAAUAUGUUCUUGGAUUGCUUCAAGUUGGAAGACAAGCAUAAUCUUCAAUUCCAUUAAGGCAAAAAGGCAAAUAAAACCAAUUACGCACCAAGUCACGAGAACUCUGGAAAAGCCAGUAUUUCAGUUUUUAUACAUAAUAUAACGACAUUACAGUGUUUAUGAAAUCAAUAUAUCCAAUACCAACGGUCAUAUUUCGUCUUAAUACGUAAAAUUUACCUUCAAAUAUGUUAUAAAUCAAGGGAGUGGCUAUGAUUUUUGAAGGCACUUUUCCCCCCUAGGUUUUAAGAUGGCAAAGCACUGAUCUUGUCUUGUUUGCAUGAAUUAUAAAAUUUGUAAAUAUAGAAGAGUCUGAAUAAUUUUACAAAGCCCUUGAGUUUUGAUACAAAUGCUUAUAUCACACGUUUGAUGUCACAAAUUCCGAAUAUGUUACCAUUACAAGUUCUCACAUGACAUGGUCAUUUGUUAUUAUUUUAUAGCUCACACACACAUUAGUUACAAUGUUACCCUUGAGUUUUGUUCCAAAGGGGUGUAUACAUAUGUGUGUGUGUUCAUAGGCACCUUUCUCUUACAAGACAGAUUUUAGAUGAUGAGUUCUACCGAAUUUGUGACUAUUAGUAUUAAUAAGAGCAGUCACCAUGUCUAAUAUGAGAUUGGCAUAUACAUAUAUAUAUAUAUAUAUAGGUGCAAGUUUGUGACCAUUGUUAGGGAUGGGGCGACUUGGGGAGGGCAAAUUCGCGAUGUUACCUAGCUGGCUGCCGUUGAGAACAGUUGUUGUGAUGAAUUGUUACCAUCUCUUAUCCGACAAGUCUAUUUUGAGGUUGGUUAGGUUCCACCCAUGAAUUUGUAGGGUCAUCGAUUCAUUUCGGCUCGAUCUUCUUCUGGAACAAUCUGAUCCAAUAAUUUACAUAGUUGAUGCUUCAACAAUAAUAGGUCGACAGAUCAAUUUAAGCAUGCCAGUAGAUACGUUUUCAAAUGAAUUGAUUAUGCCCUUGAAUUUUAGAAGCCGACAGAUAAAAUAAAGUUGCUCCCGUACUGCAAGCAUGAUGUGAUUUUAGAGUCUUGACAGACUUGUAUUGCGAAAAUGUGGCCUAGCCAGCACUAUCAUUGAACAAGAAGAUAACAGCGACCGAAAGAGAGAAUUUUAGAAAGUUCAAUAAGCAUAUCAUGGACAGAACAAGGAGUUGCAUGCGGCUCAGUCUUAAAGCUGUAAUGCCCACAAACUUUAUAGUCUUUGACGUGAGAAAUGAUGCAAGCAGAAGCAAAGUUGGGAUGAAUAACCAAUUUAGCCUAUUCAGAAUCGAUCACAAAGUUUUACGUGUUCAACGGUCGAUGAAUCAUCCACGUGUCGCUCAAUCAUUUUUCGUUUUCGUUGCGACCCUUGGACCGCAGCAUCGCUGUUUCUCUAUUCCAGUCCUAGUCUGACACAUAAGGAAAGAGGCGGGUGGGCUGGGUGGGAAUGUGGGCCUGUUUAGAAGACUGAUGUGACCAAGUGGUCCUUUGUAGUUGAGAUUAUGACAUGAGGCCGACCUCAGAGAGAUUUACUUAUUUGUCUUUUUUUGAUCGGAGCAUAUGAUUUUGUUCCCCCUUUUAAAAAGUAAGGCAUAGGCAAGUUUAAAUUGCCACACCUUGGGAACGAGUGCAUGAAUGAAAAUAAAUUGUGAGAAUUUUUAGCGUGAAUUAUUCUCUUAAGCCUCUCAAUAAAAAAAUAAAAAAUGUAUUUAUUGUUUUAAUUGGAAAUUAAAGUAAUGAUAAGACAUUCUAAAAUUUUAUCAUGAAUUUCAUUUCAUUUCAAAUGAUAUAACUUGUAACGUGUUAUUCAUUAAGUGGUUGAUGGUUUUUUAUAAAUUUCAUUAAUUACAUUAUCUCAAAUCUCAAUGAAUGAUCAAUGACACAUCAUUUAUGAUGCAAUUUUAGGAUGGAAUUAUUAGUGUUAUUGGAUGAGAGAUUAAUGGCAUAAUUGCUGAAAUGGAAACGUUAUUAAGUUUGCUUGAUAGAAGAAAUUAGGUUUUUGAAUAAUGAAAAAUCUUAAUGAAAGUUUGAAUGAAUAAAACUAUAGUUUUGUGGCCUUUUUAUAACAAGCUUAAAUAUCACGAAUUUACCAAAAUAGGCAAAUCUGAAAUAUAACAUAAUAAUUAAAUUCUCCUAAUCAAAAUAAGAAAAUAAAAACAAACGGUACUCAAAUCCGAUUCUAGAAAAAAAAAAGAUAAAAAUCCUAGAAGAAUGAGGAAAAAUAUUAAAACUAGAAAAUGUCCAGAAAAUAAGCGGAAUAUCUGGCUUGAACCUGGGGCAAAACGACUUAGCGUUUUUGGGUUUUAUUCUCCUCGUCGUAGGCUUCAAAACGGUAUAUUAUACUCCAAAAACAGACACUUGUAACCUAAGUUAUGGUCUCUAAAAGGUACACUGCUCGUGACACACAUCACCUUACAUCAAUAAUACAAAAGACAAAUUUAUAAUCUAAUAUUAAUUAUAAUGUAAAACGUCAAUUUAUUACUAUGAGUUUUGUGUUUUAUUUGAAUCUAGUAAUUUCAAUAAUGUCACUACACAUUAUCAUCAGAAGAUCUUUGAAUAUUGGUUGUUUUCAUUUGGACUUGUUAUUAGUAAGGGCAUCUUCUGAGAAUAUGGGCGGUGAGAGUAUAAUGCAGCCUUUUGUCCUUAGUUGGUGUUUGGUUUUAAGAAAGUGGAGGGAAGGAGAGGAGAAAAAAAAGAGAAGAGUGGAAAGAUGAUGAGAGGAGAAGAGUGCAAAAAUUAACUACUAUUAUUUGGUUUCACAUUAAAUUUAAAAUGAAAAGAAAUUACAUAUUUUUUAUUUGGACAAAUAUACCCACUAUCUUUAAUGUUAAUAUUGUUAGUAAAUAAAAAUAAUAAUUAAAGUAUGAAUUAAUUUAAUCUGGCAAUUACAUUGUUAAAUAGAGAAUUGUUUUUAAAUUACAACAUUAGGUCAUGGAUAACCAUCAUGUUGACUGCCGUUGACCAUCAUUUUUCAUCACGUUAAAUACAUAAUAAUGAUCAGAAAUGAAUCAUUUACUCAUUGGAAAUAUUAAAUUUUGUAGAAAAUACACUAUAUAGUUGGAAAUAUGAGAGUUAAAAUUUUCCCAAGCAUUUAAAAAAGACUCGAGGUAGAUAACAACGUAUAUUAGUAUUUCUAACUCCAUAGAGUACAUGAGGAUUCUAUUAGUACUAGUUUUGAUGGUAAAGCGUGUCUCCAGUGAAACUCCGACGAGUCUCCAGUGACUGUCCAACGAUUCACCUUACUGCUUUAUCCUAUUAAUGUAAGAAAAUAAACAUAAAUUAUUUGCAUUUGGAUUGAUUAAUGACGGCAAAGAGAUAAAAUAUUUCAGUCAUUUGUUGGCAUUAAUGAAUUUUCUGAUGAGUUGGACUAUUGGCAUCCCUCUAAUCUACUCACAAAACUCCCCUUUUUAGUUAUAUUCAUUUUAUUUUUGAAAAUGCCCAUUUUUUUAGAUACACUUUUCUAAGUUCUCAAUUUUCAUUUGAUUUGUUUUAUUGUUAAAACUCUAAGUAUUUAUUGUGCUAUUUUUUUAAUUAUUUUCAAUUUUAUUAUUAUCCUACACACAAGUCAAAAAGUUAUAUGUACACUAUAUAGUUGGAAAUAUGAGAGUUAAAAUUUUCCCAAGCAUUUAAAAAAGACUCGAGGUAGAUAACAACGUAUAUUAGUAUUUCUAACUCCAUAGAGUACAUGAGGAUUCUAUUAGUACUAGUUUUGAUGGUAAAGCGUGUCUCCAGUGAAACUCCGACGAGUCUCCAGUGACUGUCCAACGAUUCACCUUACUGCUUUAUCCUAUUAAUGUAAGAAAAUAAACAUAAAUUAUUUGCAUUUGGAUUGAUUAAUGACGGCAAAGAGAUAAAAUAUUUCAGUCAUUUGUUGGCAUUAAUGAAUUUUCUGAUGAGUUGGACUAUUGGCAUCCCUCUAAUCUACUCACAAAACUCCCCUUUUUAGUUAUAUUCAUUUUAUUUUUGAAAAUGCCCAUUUUUUUAGAUACACUUUUCUAAGUUCUCAAUUUUCAUUUGAUUUGUUUUAUUGUUAAAACUCUAAGUAUUUAUUGUGCUAUUUUUUUAAUUAUUUUCAAUUUUAUUAUUAUCCUACACACAAGUCAAAAAGUUAUAUGGGGUGAUAAGUUUUUUAGUGUUAAUCAUUGGCUGAAAUAACACAUAUUUCAAAUUAUAAGUUCAAAGCAAUCUUAAGUAUAAAAAUAUUUAAACAAUAAGAAAUCAAAAAAGAAUAAUAGAUUAUUCUAAAUUUGUACAAUUUUAUUUUAGUUAGAUAGGAAGUAACACAUAGAAUUUUUUUUUAUUAAAAAGAACUGAUUAUGAAUUAAGUAAUUUGCUGGGAAAAAAAUAUAUAUGUGUUUAAUUUUCAAAUGUCCUUCAUUAUAAUUUUAUUUAAAGUAGGGUUUUAUAAGAAUAAUGUAGGGGUGCUAACAGUUCCACUCUUUUAUGAUAUUUAUAAAUUUUCUGAUAUUUGUUUAUUACGGUAAAUGUUAAACCAGAUUUUGCGAUCAUUCUUCUAGGUCCCACUUCUAAUUACAAAAGACUAAACUACCACACUUGCCAAUACUCUCAGCAAAAAUUAACACAAUACUAGUUGAAUCUAACUCACAAAACAAAACAAACUCACAGUAAAAGAAGCUAAGUUCGAAUCCUCUACACUUAUAUGUCUGUCGCAACUCAUAUUUUCUUGCAUAAUUAUCGUAAUAUCAACAAUUCAUGAAGUGUAUAUAUAUAAAGGUCCCACAAAACAACAUUUUACAAUUUUCAACUACAAGUUUUAACAUAUACUGUUAAUAGAAAUUAGCACAAUACAAGCUAUAUCAUCACAAAUUCAUAACCAGCACAAUCGAAUUUCGAAUAAAUGAAGCAAAUUACCUCCACAGAUUGAUUACGGCAGCCAACGACGAGUGAAGCCGAGAGAGUAAAGUUGCAAGUGAAUUUUCCCACGUAGCCGAGAGAAUGAAACACUGUGAGGGAGAGUCGACGAUUAAAGGCACUGUUGUGGUGUGGGAGAGUUUGCUAGUAAGAUUUGUGGCUUGAGUGAGGUGUGUAUUUGGUGGGAGUCAGAGGGAGAAUGUGCGUGUGUUGUCUGCCUUGCAUUCAGCAGUGACAUUUUAUAUUGUGCUCAAAAUGCACCAUUCAAUGCUUAAUGUUGUGUGAAUAUCAAAAGUGGAACAGGAUAUUGAGGAAUUUUCCUACUUAUAAGUCCAAAUAACUCGUUUUUACUAACAUAUGACACAACUCAACAUAAAACUCAAACUCGUAAUGCUAGAAGCAAAAUGAAUAAAGCAGAGAACGAAGCAUAUGUAGCGCUCAUUUUUAAAGCUAUAAAAUAUGUAAUUUUGAGGGAUGAUAGCUACGGAAGCAUUAAUUUGGUUCUAACUUAUCCCAAAAAAUAUUUGAUAAUUAACUUAAGGGAAAUUAUCACCGGUAUACCCUUAAAUGUCGCCGGUAUCAAACGUAUUACAACACUUUUCACUUAUAUCACUCGUAUAUCCUAAGUUGACAAAAGAGUUCUGGCGUCCACCUUUCCGUUUACUACAGUUAAGAACUUAACAUAAUUUGAGCAAAAUGACUAUUUUACCCUUUAAAUUCAAAAUGAGGUAAAAAAAUAAAUUUACCUUGAAAAUUAAUGUAAAUUUUCAAUACACAAUUUUUUUUAUUUUGUUAUUAACAAUACAUUUUUUUAUUAAAAAAUAUGAAUUAUUAAUGGUACAUAUUAUUAACAAUUAUCCAUAAAAAACAUCUAUCUUAUUCCAUAAAACAUUAUUAACAACAUAUUAUUUAUAAUUAUAUAUAUUAUACCAUAAAAAAUUCAAGUUGGAGCUUGGAGGAGUAGAUCUUUAAUAAUUUAGGUUAAAUUUGGAGGAGUAGAUUCAGUUGUAAAGUAGUUUUUUUUUAGCAAUUAUUAACAAUUAUCCGAUAAAUGGAGGACAUGUCAUUUUUAUAAAAAUAUAUCACAUGGCAUGUCGUUUUUUACUAGGUAAAUAGGAUGACAUGUCGUUUUUUAAAAAAAAGACUAAACUACCCUUAUAAUGUCAGCGCUCGCAAACGGUAGUUAACGGAUCGAUGGACGGCAGAAGUGUUUUGUCAACUUAGGGUAUACAAGUGAUACACUUGAAAAAUGUUGUAGCACGUUUGAUACUCGUGUCAUUUAAGGGUAUAUGGCUGAUAAUUUUCCUUAACUUAAAGCAAGUAUCCAAACUUGCAUCCAAAAUUGUAUUUGGUGGGAGUCAGAGGGAGAAUGUGCGUGUAUUGUCUGUCUUGCAUUCAACAGUGACAUUUUAUAUUGUGCUCAAAAUGCACCAUUCAAUGCUUAAUGUUGUGUGAAUAUCAAAAGUGGAACAUGAUAUUGACGAAUUUUCCUACUUAUAAGUUCAAAUAACUCGUUUUUACUAACAUGUGACACAACUCAACAUAAAACUCAAACUCGUAAUGCUAGAAGCAAAAUGAAUAAAGCAGAGAAUGAAGCAUAUGCAGCGCUCAUUUUUAAAGCUAUAAAAUAUGUAAUUUUGAGGGAUGAUAUCUACGGAAGCAUUAAUUUGGUUCUAACUUAUGCCAAAAAAUAUUUUGAUAAUUAACUUAAAGCAAGUAUCAAAAAUUGCACCCCCCCCCCCUCCCUAAAGUUGCUUUCAUGAUGAUUUUGCACGGGUAUAGACUUGCCACUGAAAAUUACAUAUAGGGAAAAGGGCCAUAUAUAAAGUAAAUGAAAUAUUAAUUUGAUGGAACUUUCGCAACUCUUUUGCCCGAAUACAUGCAAUUAGUAAUAUCUUAAAGUGAAAGUGAAAUGGAUAUAAAAUUAUUUUAUAUAAACUAAUGUGAUAUAAAUAUAUUGGCCGGAUAUAAUAAUUCUCGAAAAAUAUAAUUAAUUUAUAUUAUAUUAUAUUUUCAUCCAAUUAAUAUAAUUAUGCCACAUUAGUUUGUACAUGAGUUUGUAGUACUAUUAUCACUCCAACAUAAAGUAAUUUUUAUUACACCCAACUAAUAUGUUUAUGUCACAUUAGUUUGUACAAAAUAAUUUUGUACCAAGAACUAUUUUAUAUUUUCAUCAUAACAAUAAAUAUGGACUCAAUUUCUUAGUUAACAAUUUAUGCGCAUCAAUAUUACCUCAAAAAUACCCAUUUAGAACUGCAGGGAGUAGAGAACAAUAGCAAGAUUUUAGUUUUAAUGUAUAAAAUUGAAGCUGAUGUGCUCUAAUGGAAUUCUUCCUCUCUAUCAUUAUUUUGCAUGCAUAUUAUUCAGAAUAAGCACCUAUAUAUAAUUUCCCUAUGAUACAGACGGUACCUUGGAGAGAAGAGAGAAGGCGGUACCUUGGAGAGAAGAGAGAAGGGGAAUUUCCCUAUGAUACAGACGGUACCUUGGAGAGAAGAGAGAAGGGGAAAAAAAAAAAAAGAGGCUAGGACUAAAUUGUUUCGCUUCCAACAGUGCCUUGAAACUGCAACUAAACUUUGUUCCCAAGCUCUACUCCUUCUUCUUCUGACGAGUCACUGCCUUUAUUAUGAACCUGAAUGGGCUUAAAAGUAUACAUCUUAGCGCAAAAUAUAUAGUAAAUAAGAUUAGCCACUUGCAACAACGUGAUCAACCAGUAGAAAUACUCCAACUUUCCCUUGUUCAAAUUAUUAUCCGGCAGCCAAUUUGAUCCAUUAGGUCCAGCACUGAACUUGUGCACCAACGUAACCAAAAAUGUGCUGAAAUAAUUUCCAACUGAAAUUGCAGUCCAAAACAAUGCGGUAGCCGUGCUUCUCAUGCUCUCCGGCGCCUGAUCAUAGAAAAACUCCAGGUGACCAAUUGACAU